UCAACAACAAUUACGUGAUAAACACUUUUAAACGCUAACUAGCCAAGGAAUUUAAUUCAGUGAUACUUUCUACACAUGGCUCAAGUGCUCAACGCCUAAUUAAUGUGCCAGCCAUAAAUAGUCGAAAGCGUGGCGAUUCAUCAGUUUGAUAAGCAUCGGCUUUUGUUGUUGUGGUUUAUAUUGAUAAUUUCCUUUGAUGGAGGAGCAUCUGAAGAAGCUGACAGUUGUGGAAACGGUAACGUAACUAUCGACUAAACAAACAAGCCGUCAAACUUUAAUGCGAUAUAUAUUAUAUACAUAUAUAUAUGUAUAUAUAUAUCAUUAGAUGUUGUCAGGGCUUAGCGCAACCGAACAGUGCGUUUAAUGUGAGACACGUGCACCAUGUGGCUUGAGCAAUUGCGCAACAAUAUGCAACAAAGACGAGACACCAUGUGACGUCAUGACCUCGUCUGUAUCUACAAGCUACAAAUGUCUGGGCAAACAGCAUCAAAUGCGAAUGCAAUGACUGAAAUAGAGCCAAGCUUAUUAUGUAAAUCUGCUAUGAAGAAUAAAUAAACAAAAGAUUAUA
rnacentral:sRNA from 1 species